rnacentral:lncRNA from 1 species
GAGGAUUCUAUAUUGAACCGACGAUAUACACUCCAUCAUUAAUUUAAUCCAAUGUUGAUGGAAGCCCAUUUUCUGCAGAAGUGCUUUAAUAAAUUCUCAUUCUAUCCUGUCAUAUGCUUUACUCAUAUCCGUUUUAACCGCCAUAUACUUCCCUUGACACGCCUUAUUAGUCCGCAAUCCAUGAAACAUUUCCUGAGCUAUAAGAAUAUUAUCAGAGAUCAA